rnacentral:misc_RNA from 1 species
CUUUUUUUUUUUUUUUUUCCUGUUGUCUUUAUUAAAGAAAAGCAAACUCCACUGCUAGAUUUAGCUACCGCAGACAGGAGACGGAUUGUCUAAUCUAGACAUUAUUAGCCACUAAAACAGACAAAAUCCUAACAGCAUUACAAGAAAAUCCAGAUGGUCUCCUCCAUAACAGGCAUAUUAGGUUUGGUCUCUACUCACAGCAACGGUAAGUCAUCAGGUACUUGCCCAUUUUACGGUCGCAGAUUGUGCAGGUCAUCAUCUCAUCUGCGAUCUCUGCAACAUUCGCUGGCAGGACAAUGUGGCAGCAAUGAUUUGGCUUAUCUAUAAGUUGUUUUUGGAUCUGCUGGUUGAGUUCUAGCAGAAAAAACUCACUGCCACCGGCCGCAUCCCACCAGCUACUUAUGUUUGACAAGACCUGUAGAACAACUUCUCCUGUGGCUUUAGCCAUUUUAUGCGAGGUUCCUAAUUGACCAAACGCAGCCCAUCCACUGUAGCUUCCACUGAAGCUAAGCAAAGUUCCCACAUCUUUCAUGGUAUUGUUUACUUUAGGAUAGAUGCCCUUUCGUAAUCCCGAAGAGAAGAUGCUUUCCAAUCGGGCCCAAAAUCGCCAACUGUACGUUUCCUCAACAUUCCAGUAGACACCAAGCUUCCUUCCAGUAAUGAAAUCGAAAAUGGCUUUGUUGGUCUGAUUGAUGGCCUUGCUCUGGCUAACAUAAACCAAAUCCAUGCUCAGCUUAGUGACAUCUUUAAUCCGAUUUAUUGCAGUGGUAAACUCCUCAAUCCAUUUGAUGUCUUCUCCUCCGUAAAGG